AUGUUAUCAUUCCUAUUUUGCAGAAGAGAAAACAGAGGCUUGGAGAGGCUGUGUGGAUUUCCCAAGGUCACCCAGCUAGAAAGUGGCAGAGCUGGAACUCCAACUCAAGUCCAGUAUGCACUCUGGACCAUCCCUGUCCCUAACAACCUUUCAGGUUUUCUGAUAGACUCAGGGAGAUAUCAGGUGGAGGAGCCCUUACUGCUGAGAGGAGAGCCCCUCACCCUUCCCCCAAGCCUCAUCUGCCAUCUUCUCCAGCUGCCUCCAGGCCACCAGGAAGAGAGCUACACUGUCGGAACAGUGCAGAUACAUCAGCAAACACAUGGGUGA
rnacentral:lncRNA from 1 species